rnacentral:rRNA from 1 species
UACGUAGGGGGCGAGCGUUGUCCGGAUUUAUUGGGCGUAAAGAGCUCGUAGGCGGUUUGGUAAGUCGGGUGUGAAAUCUCCACGCUCAACGUGGAGGGGCCACUCGAUACUGCCAUGGCUUGAGUUCGGUAGGGGAGCCACGGAAUUCCUGGUCGUAGCGGUGAAAUGACGCAGAUAUCAGGAGGAACACCGGUGGCGAAGGCGGUGGUCUGGGCCGACACUGACGCUGAGGAGCGAAAGCGUGGGGAGCGAACAGG